rnacentral:rRNA from 1 species
GACGAACGCUGGCGGCGUGCCUAAUACAUGCAAGUAGAACGCUGAAGAGAGGAGCUUGCUCUUCUUGGAUGAGUUGCGAACGGGUGAGUAACGCGUAGGUAACCUGCCUUGUAGCGGGGGAUAACUAUUGGAAACGAUAGCUAAUACCGCAUAACAAUGGAUGACACAUGUCAUUUAUUUGAAAGGGGCAAUUGCUCCACUACAAGAUGGACCUGCGUUGUAUUAGCUAGUAGGUGAGAUAACGGCUCACCUAGGCGACGAUACAUAGCCGACCUGAGAGGGUGAUCGGCCACACUGGGACUGAGACACGGCCCAGACUCCUACGGGAGGCAGCAGUAGGGAAUCUUCGGCAAUGGGGGCAACCCUGACCGAGCAACGCCGCGUGAGUGAAGAAGGUUUUCGGAUCGUAAAGCUCUGUUGUAAGUCAAGAACGAGUGUGAGAGUGGAAAGUUCACACUGUGACGGUAGCUGACCAGAAAGGGACGGCUAACUACGUG